AUUGAACGCUGGCGGCAUGCCUUACACAUGCAAGUCGAACGGUAACGCGGGGCAACCUGGCGACGAGUGGCGAACGGGUGAGUAAUGUAUCGGAACGUGCCCAGUUGUGGGGGAUAACUGCUCGAAAGAGCAGCUAAUACCGCAUACGACCUGAGGGAGAAAGGGGGGGAUCGCAAGACCUCUCGCUAUUGGAGCGGCCGAUAUCAGAUUAGCUAGUUGGUGGGGUAAAGGCCUACCAAGGCAACGAUCUGUAGUUGGUCUGAGAGGACGACCAGCCACAAUGGGACUGAGACACGGCCCAGACUCCUACGGGAGGCAGCAGUGGGGAAUUUUGGACAAUGGGCGCAAGCCUGAUCCAGCAAUGCCGCGAGCAGGAAGAAGGCCUUCGGGUUGUAAACUGCUUUUGUCAGGGAAGAAAUCCUCUAGGUUAAUACCCUUGGGGGGAUGACGGUACCUGAAGAAUAAGCACCGGCUAACUACGUGCCAGCAGCCGCCGUAAUAC
rnacentral:rRNA from 1 species